rnacentral:misc_RNA from 1 species
CGCGCGCGAGUCUCGAGUGCGUCGGUGUGCACGUGUGUGCGUGCGCGCGAAUACGUGUGACCGGCGUGUCGAUGCGGGGAUUUGGCCAGUGUGUCAGUGUGAAAGAAGACAAUUGACUCGCAGCCGCCGUCGGACGGUGCUUGGCGGGGGCCUUCUGACGUCACAUCCUGCCCCGCGUACGAGCCGCGAUCUCAUCUGGACCACGACGCGCAAAGCGAAUGAGGGACAAUGAUCCACUGCGACAAGAGGAUCCUCGGGAUCCUUGUCUUACUGAACAUAGUCGUAAAGAUGCCGGCGAAUCGGACAGAUUCGCCAAAAACGGACACGGUUGAAGAAACGGAGAUUCUUAUCACAACCAAGAGAAUUCUACCGGACAGGUGUCUCGUCAAGACAGAACCUGGACCUUGUAAUCACUACGUUAAUAAGUGGACCUUCAACAAGGCCGAGGGGAAAUGCCGAACGUUCUCUUACGGUGGCUGCCUCGGAAAUGAGAAUCGAUUUAAUUCGGAAGCUGAAUGUCUUCAUUAUUGCAUCGGCGGUGCCGACCAUACACUACCGCCUCUCAUAACAAAGGGUGGCGUAUUCGUGACAACGAGCACCACGACAAGCAGCACAACACCUCCGACAACUUCCAGCACACCGCGGCCGACUUUCACACCCCCGAAGCCGACGAAGCCGCCGGUGCCGAAGCACAAACGAGGAAAGGAGUUAACUUUCAUGGAAUCAGGCCACGAGAAGACGUUCAUGUUCGCACAAAGUAAUACUUUCAUCCAGCUCGAUGGUCCUGGCAUCAAAACUUUUCAACUGAGAUUGUGCCGCGAGAUAUCAUUCAAGUUCCGUACAAAACUUCCGCACGGUUUGCUAGUCUAUCACAGCGUCAAAGAUCGCCCGGAAAGUCUCGACCCUUAUGCUCUGUACGUGAUAGUGGAAAAGGGUCAGCUAAAAGUUGUUCACGUAUUCGGUAAACAAUCGACCAGUUUGACAGUCGGCGAAGGUCUCAACAGGGACGAAUGGCACAGCGUUCUCGUCAGGAUCGAUGUGCACGGAGCGAAGUUAAUCGCCAGAGUCGACGAUAAACAAGCCGAGACUACUCUAAAAGUCUUGGAACGUGUCGUGAAUUAUGGCGUGUCCGAAGAGUUAGCUUCUGUAGUUCUAAUCGGAGGUAAGCCAAAUUUUUCGUUAAACAUCCAGAGAUUUUUUAGCAUCCUUAUCUUUCUCUCUUCAUCUGCCUUCGCAGGACUGAGCUCCGAAGAACGAUUACACGGGGUAAAAUACAUAAUAGAGUCCUUCGUCGGCUGCAUCAGAGAUAUGGUUCUGAGUUCCGGAAAAUCUGCCAGCGACUUACUACCCAUUCGACCGUUAAUCGCGACUAAGCAUGAGAAUGUUAAGGAAGGCUGUAUCGAUAAAUGCAGAACACGGGAGAACUUAUGCUUCGUUCCCAAUCAAUGUGUGAAUCAUUACAACAGCCUAACGUGCGACUGCUUCGGGACGAAGUACGAGGGUGAACGUUGCGAUGUGUACACCGCAACGAUACUGACGCUAAGAGGUUCGUCGUACGUGUCCUUCCGCGUGUACGAUUGGAAGGAUCGUGUUCACUCGUCUGUCAACAGGAUCAGCCUCGCUUUUAAGACAAAAUGGGACGAUUCGGCGCUGUUUUACGCUUCCGGCGAGAUCGAUGGCACGCCGCAUUACUUCGCAGCUUCGAUCAUAAACGGAUCAGUCUACGUUGAGCUCGAUUUCGGGCACAACUCGAAGAUCUCUACCAUGUUGGGCGAUUAUGUCACAUCCGAUCAUUGGAACAACUUGACCAUUUUUCACAACGGAUCUGUCGUUUUCGUCAGUUUGGAUGAAGAGGUGAAAGUGCUAGAAGUGCCGGGAGAAAAUUACAAUAUGAUCAUCGAUCCCGAGAUAUACAUCGGCGGUGGACCGGAACUCCACAAGAAGAAGGGUCUUCUGUCACAUAAUAACUUUGCAGGAUCCUUGAAGUACGUGUUCUUCAACGACAAAUCAAUUAUAUACGAAUUGAAACGCUCCAAUCCCAUGGUGCACUACAUCGGCGUUCUAGAACCCGAGUACUACGAAGCUGACGUCGAAGUCAUCCCGAUAACGUAUCCUUUCGCGGGAAGUCACAUUUGGUGGCCCAUCGAGCGAACCGAUUCGCUGAAACUGAACUUCGACUUCAAGAGCUCGAAGCCGAUCGCUGUCGUCGCUUCGGGAGAAGUAAAGAGCAAUCGCGGACUUGGCUAUUGGGAGCUCCGUCAAGUGAACGACGAAAUCCGUUUCCAUUUGCUGCCGAUCGUGACGGAGAACAUCACGGUGUCGGCGGCAGUGAAAUUUCCGCCCUACAACACUUCUUGGCACGCAGUGGAACUUAAUUACACGAAGGGCGAGCUCAGUAUCUUAGUCGAUUACAGGAACAAGCAGAGCAAACUCUUCGCGAUGACAUUCGAGUUAGGCGAUAAGGUUAUUAUAGGGAGUGGUAAAAGUAACGCUGGUCUGGUGGGAUGUAUGCGUGAGAUACGAGUGAACGAUCAAAGAAUCGAACCUAGAUACGUGAUCAACACCGAGAGGGUGAUCGGAGAAGUAGCUUUGGACAACUGUCAGUUCGUGGACCCGUGCAAAAGGCCGAACACUUGCGAACACGGCGGUAAAUGCUCGGUCAAGGAGGAUAGAAUCACGUGCGACUGCACGGAUACUGGAUACAUCGGGAAGAAUUGUCACUUCGCACAAUACAGGAAAACCUGCGAAGAACUGGCCCUCCUGGGAUAUACGCAGGACGACGUUUACAAAAUCGACAUCGACGGGAACGGUCGGUUUCCGCCUGCCUUGGUAAAGUGCGAGUUUCAGUCAAUCGAGGACUCAACUAAGACGAUCGUCGAGCACAAUCUGCCCUCUCAAGUGGACGUCAGAUCCAUCAUCGAGAGCGACUUCUCCUUCAGCAUCAAGUACAGACAGUUCACCGCGGAGAUGCUUCAAGAGCUGAUCUCACAUUCGCUGUAUUGCAGUCAGUACGUGAAGUACGACUGUUACAAGGCGCCCUUGGAGUUGCACAGCGCCACGUGGUUUUUAGGAUCAAAGGGCACCACCGUCGAUUACAUCGGGAACGUCAAUCGUGGGUCCUGCCCUUGUGGAAUGAACAGAACAUGCGUGAGUCCCAACUUGAGCUGUAACUGCGAUGUCUCCACCGGAAAUGCUGGGAAAUGGCUAUCGGACGAAGGAUACUACGAGACACCCGACUCCUUGGGCAUCACCGGGAUGGUAUUCUUGCAGCAGAGAGAUCUCGAGGAAGACGCUCGCGGACGUAUCACCUUAGGUCCACUGGAGUGCGUGGAAACAAACACGCAAAAGUACGUGGUAACAUUCACUACAUCGCAAUCGUACAUCGAAGUGCCAGGCUGGAGAAAGGGCGACAUAGCUUUCAGCUUCAGAACAACGGGCGAGAAAGCUAUCCUUUUGUAUCAGCCACCUAUCCGAAACAAUUAUCCUUCCUUCAUGGUCGCGUUGACAUCCGAGUAUCGAUUGACCUUCAAUUUCACCCUGAACACUGGCACUAUUCGCGAACUGGAAGUGAAGAGUCGGCGCAAGCUGAACAACGGUGAAUGGCAGAAGAUCUGGAUCGACUACAACGACUAUCACGUACGAUUCAUGAUCAAUACCGACUUCCAGAUGGUAGAUCUGUUGCCCGAGGAGGAAUUCGGGCCUUUCGAAGGUUCGAUGUUCAUCGGCGGCGCUACUGCAGAACACCUGAAGACCUCCUCUGUUCGACAAGGCCUCAUCGGUUGCUUUCGCGGUCUCGUUGUGAACGGAGAGAUAUUAGAUAUUCACAGCUACAUGUCGGUACAUCUGUCGGAAAUCAUCAAGGACUGCAAGCCUUCGUGUCAACCUAACAAGUGCCAGAACGGCGCCAGGUGCGUCGAACUGUGGAGCAACUUCGAGUGCGUGUGCGAGAAUCAAUGGGCACACUUAGGCACUUAUUGCGAGACAAACAUCAACAACAAAGCUCUGACGUUUACUUCACCCGGAGCGUUCUUGAAAAAGAAUUACUUCGGAUCAGACGACAACGAGGAGAGGAUGCUGCUGAAAAGCAUGCUGUUAGAAAAUAUUCUGAUCAAUCUGAGAACUUACGACACGCAUUCCCUGAUACUCUACGCGAACGAUCACCUGAACAACUUCGUGCAUCUUUACGUCUCGAACGGCACCAAUAUCGUAUACCUCUUUAACACCGGCAAUGAGAUCAUGAAUAUCACCGUGGAGAAUCCAAAUGUCAACACGGGAAUCUCGGUGCAGAUCGCUAUAAUUCGGGGCGAGAACUGGACCACGCUACACGUUAACGAAUAUAACGUCACGUUGAACGCGACGCCUGUACUGCUUGACACAUACUCGAACAAACCGUGGACCAACCCGGAGAAAGAGGUUUUGGCACCGCAGCGACCGCCGGCGCCGCCGACUGACUAUUUUCAGGUAAAUUUAGGAGGAUUCGAUCCUGACAAUCUACUAAGAGUCGGAAAGGAAGGCGCCUUAAUUCAAGGUUAUAUCGGCUGCUUACGUGGGCUUAUGAUAGGCGAGUACCUCGUCGACCUACCAAACUUAGCCAGCGAAGCGAAUCACGAAGGCAGCAAAGGCGUUCUGCCGAAUUGUCAGAUGAAAUGCGACGCGAUGCCUUGCAAAAAUUUGGGAAUUUGCACGGAGGAUUUUGGCAGGCAAGAGUCCUCCUGCAACUGCGAACUGACAUCUUAUUUUGGCGAACAUUGCGCCGAUGAAAAGGGUGCAGACUUCAGCGGGGAGAGUGUUCUUCAGCGAGAGUUCGAGCUGGAGGGCGAGAUAAACCAGGUGAAAGUUCAGCUGGCAUUCUCGACGAAUGAAUUACGACAACGAACUACCGCGUUGCUGCUGGUACAGACCGACAACAAAAGGAGCUACUACUUACUGGUGGCCUUGACAUCUGAGGGACAGCUUAUCUUCGAGGAGGAUCGAGAAGGCUCAGCUUACGGAGUGCGUCUCAACGACCGAAACUUCCUCAACGGUGCACGUCACAGCGUCUACUACGAUCGCGACAAUAACACAUCCACCCUCUUGAUCGACCGCGAACCUGUGCCAUUACUGCCUAUACCAAUACUAAGCUUAGGAGACGAGGACUCUGAAACUCCGGGUGCCACGGAGAUCCAACUUGGCGGACUGAACACCACUGACCCGCGAUUCAGCGCCUACAAGGGAUAUACCGGCUGCCUCAGCAACGUAGUGAUAUCAAUCAACGGCGGCGCCGGUAUGAAACCGUUGGAGGAAUAUAUGCUUUUUACGAAACAAGGCAGCGAAACGGUCAGAGCGACGAUACCCGCCGGCGUUAGAAGCGCCCAAUGCGCGGUCUUUCAUGCUCAACCUCAUGGCCUCGAGCCGUCUAGGAACGAUAGUGUGGGUCGUGAUCGAGCAUGGGUGGAGGACCCACCGGAAAGGAUCCUGUACAAGUCGCAAUACUCGGGCGCCACUCAGGAAGAGCAGGGUGCAGGAACAUACAUCUUCAUAGCUCUGUGCUGCGUCUUCGUGGCCGCAGUGAUCGGCUGCAUUUACGAGGUAUGGCGAAGCGCACGGAAGGACCGUCAACGACGUCGCACCGCGACUACGGGAACACCACCGACCACUGCGGUCGCUUCUGGUUCGCAACGGUGGCAACCGCAGUAUACGGAGUCCCUGGUAGCUGCCGCCGGCGUGAAGACAGUCGGCUUCAAGAAUGUGAUAGACGACGACAAGAGGCCGAACGGGACUCAUGUGAAAGUGCCCAGCGCGAAGGAAUACAAGCCACUGCCGAAUACGGAGCCGAAGGACUUAAUGAACGAUAAAAAGGUUCACAUAAAAGCGGACGAAGAGCCAGAGAAAAAGGAGCUCCUAGGGGUAAAUACAGGCAUCGUCACUAAACCUGCGAAACCGAAUCCAUUCUCGAUGGAAGAUCUGAGAGAGGAACCAGAGUUGGAAGAGCGCGAGGAAGAAGAAGAAGAAGAAGAGGAAGAGGAGACGCAAGAGCCAGAACCGGAACCAGAGCCGGAACCGGAACCGGAACCGGAACCGGAAUCAGAAUCAGAUGCGGAUAAAUCCAAGGAUCAACCGCAAAAUAAACAGCAACAGGAGGAGGAAGAGGACGAGAGUAACGAUCAUGACGGCGAGCUUCUCGUUAGGCCGCACAGAAACUGGUCUAAGACGAGUGUCGACGAGAGUGUUAUACCGUUAGACUCCAUUUUAAAACCCGAUGAAACGAAAACGUCGGAUAUCGAACUAUAGAGGCGCCUAUCAACAAAGAUACUGGACGACAAUCAAAGAUGCAAGGAAAUUCCUCCGUAGAACGAAACAAGCCGAUGAUCUUCAAUCUGUUUCCUAUCUUUCUACCGGAUGGCCAACGAACAUUCGGCAAUCCACUGAGUUAUCUCGGAGGUCCGAGGUUAC